CUGCUCACUUUGGCAGCACAUAUACUAAAACUGGAAUGAUAGAGAGAAGAUUAGCAUGGCCCCACGCACGAGGAUGACAUGCAAAUUCAUGAAGCAUUCCAUAUUUUU
rnacentral:snRNA from 1 species